UUACCGUUCAGGAGUUAUGGUUCUUGAAAGAUUGAAAAAUGGCUUUUCCAGUUGUGUCCGUGCAUUUACUCAUGAACCAUUCAACCUAAGCUUUUCAAAUUUUAAUAUGUUGAUACUGAUGACAAAAUGGAGGUCAAAUUUGAUAUUGACGAUUUUCAUUUUCACCGUUCAUCAGUUAUGGUUCUUGUGAUAUUGGCAGGAUACAAAUAAAUGUUAAUAAAUUUGGUUUGCUGUUGUUGUGACAGCCUCUUGUUUUACAUAAAUAGACCGUUAGUUUUCUCGUUUGAAUUGUUUUACAUUGUCUUAUCAGGGCCUAUUAUAGCUGACUAUGGGGUAUGGGCUUUGAUCAUUGUUGAAGGCCGUACAGUGACCUAUAGUUGUUAAUGUCUGUGUCAUUUUGGUCUUUUGUGGAUAGUUGUCUCAUUGGCAAUCAUACCACAUCUUCUUUUUUAUAUUUAUUGGAGUGUAAACCAAGGGGGAAUAAUGAAAUUGACCAAUCCUGUUCAAGUAUUUAUUGAUAUAUGCAAAUCAUAUUAUUAUAAGAAUUAUUAAUGUAUCAUUUUCUCGUUUGAAUUGUUUUACAUUGUCUUAUCGGGGCCUAUUAUAGCUGACUAUGCGGUAUGGGCUUUGAUCAUUGUUGAAGGCCGUACAGUGACCUAUAGUUGUUAAUGUCUGUAUCAUUUUGGUCUUUUGUGGAUAGUUGUCUCAUUGGCAUUCAUACCACAUCUUCUUUUUUAUAUUUAUUGAAGUGUAAACCAAGGGGGAAUAAUGAAAUUGACCAAUCCCGUUCAAGUAUUUAUUGAUAUAUGCAAAUCAUAUUAUUAUAAGAAUUAUUAAUGUAUCAUGUUCAUAGAUAUCUGUUAAUUGUAUUCUUUUAUUUCAGGGAUCUAUUACAGAUUCACAGAUAUCAAAUUGGAGUCAGACGUCAGAAUUUUUGUGGCACAGGGAAGUACAUGUACUGAUCAUCAACUUGGUAAUGUUAAUAACUGUUUGACACUGAUCUCAAAUAAUACUGUGAGUUCCUUAAAAUUGCAACUAAAACAACUUGGAAUACAUGUAGUACAUCAGACUGCACCAAAAGAUACUAUACACGAAAAAAACUGAGGAAGUUGUAUCACACAUAUUUGAAUUGCACCUGGCCAGUCUGAUGAAUUUAAAAGAAAGCAAAACUAUCUUCUGGAAUUACAACUUCAUUACCUGAAGGAUUUAUAUUAACAUUAUUUAAGAUGAACAUACAGACUGAAAACAAUGUAUUAAAGUAGCAACUGCUGGCUGUUCUGUCCAAAAAAUACACAAAGUCAGAUAUAAACAGAUACAUACCUAACAUUUCAAGCUACAUGUAUUAUCAGUCUAAAUAUUAGAUAUUGAAACCACAGGAUUAGUUGACAUGGUCAAAGAAAAAUACCCCAGAAAAAGGAUGAACACUGUCAAAUUAAAACAUUCUAUGGCAUUCUUAACUGACUCCUGUUUUGUUCAAUCAGUUAGUUAAAUGUAUGAAACACCAGAUAUGAAAUUGGACUCUGUGGCAAAAGUCUAAGUAUUCCAGAUGUAGUCAGAACAGUAUGUCUUUCACAGAUGGUUAAUAUAUAUAUAUGAUAUAUAUCUUUCUUAUUGUGAAAAUACUGACUUUACUCCAUUAAGAAAAUCAUCCUUGUAUAGAAUCUUACAAACAUAUGCAGCUUCAAAAAGAACAAGUUUACAAGGUCUAGACAAUAUUGCAACAGAUGAAAAUGACACAUUUACACGACUUGAAGAGAUGAU
rnacentral:lncRNA from 1 species